AAAAAAGCACCUUUAUCGUCAAGUAGGUCAGACACAAAGUUUGCCCCUUUGUUUGCCCAGUGUUUGUAAAAAAUGCAAUUGUUCCCAAUCGUAAUUCUGUGGUUCUUCUACGGCUGUUUCGCGUAAUAAAAAGUACGCCCUCUGUUGUUCAAAUGCGGCCAGCCGUGCAAACAUCGCUUGUGACGUCAUAAUUGCUUUUUAGGGUUCGCGCGCAGGGAGGUUUGACCCCUCUUUAAACCCUCAUUUCUGAUUGGCCCCUUGUUAUAUAUUUGCAUAAUUUAUAAGAUACAUCAUGAAUAUUUACAAAAGGUCAUGAUUCAAAGGCAUUUAACUGUUGGGUCGACUUGUUGACAUAUAAGAAUAGUGGCGCAAAAUGGCCCAUGUGACCACGUGUGACCACGACGAAACGAGCGGGACCGUGAAAAUGCCCGUUAAUAAGGUCGUUUUUCACCAAUGUACGCCAAUCCUGUCAACAAUUGAUGACUACCUGUGAAAAGAUAAAGUCUUCUAGAUGGAUUUUUCCCCGAAGGUUCACGAACAUGGAAGUCCUAUUGCUGCAUUUCUGCAUGGACUUCAGGGAAUGUUGUAGUCAGAUGGCGGCGCAUGAUGCUCAUCAACUUCGGAAGCUCAUCCCUCAUUCCAUGCACUGCUCGCCCAGCUCUGUUGAAUUCGAUGCUGCAAUUGUCAGGCCAUCGAGAUGAAGUCGAUCAGUCAUCCGUCGAGGUUGGGCAGUGAGGUCUUCAAUGACUGGAAUCUGUGAUGGGAUACAGUAGAACACAACUUUGAAAUCACCAGAUCUUUCUCUACUCUCCUCUGCCUGGACAAUUCAUCCUCGACUUUCUUGUCAAAGUCGGUGGCCAAGCUGUCAUCCUCAUCGUCCAGCGACCUUCCGAUGGCUCUCUGCUUGAGGACUUCGACAUCAAGCCUGUGGCAUUCCAUCUCAAAGAGAUCGUACAGCCGCUUGUACACACCGAGGGAAAUGUGUAAGGUCCAGCGGUCCGCUGCCUUCUCAACUGCCAAUGGAAUUGGCUGGUCAUGAGGAUGCUGCAGGGCACUCUUGCGAAGAACGUUUGCAGCUUCAGCAAGUACAUCCUCAGGCUUGGAGGAAGCAACGCUCUCCACAACAGUGCAUCGCAGUUUCUUUUGAACACUUGGGUGUUGUGAUGCAGCUUCACAGGAAUGUUCGGCUAAUUUCUGAAGUUUGCCGAUGAC